rnacentral:lncRNA from 1 species
CUGGGCUGGGGUCACUUCUCUCUCAGAGACGCACUCCCGAGGUCCCUGCUCCGGAAACAGAAGAUUGGGGACCUCCUGAAAGACGUGUACUGAAGUUAAGGGAGAACACACUGACGAGAACUUAAGGGAAUUAAAUUGAGAUACUUUAAAAAAACCAAACCCAAUCAGGUGCCCAGGGCGAGCAGACACCCUCCCAAGACCAGGAGACUGAAAACUGCCUUGGCUAUAGAGAAGAGCUAUAAAUACAGCCAGGCUGGUUCUGGCAGAGUCAUGAUGUCAUUUAAUAACAUUGCUUGAAGGCUAAUCGCAUAUUUUAAAAGUAAACUUAAUAUGCAGUAACUAUGAAAAUGUUACUUCUUAGGUUACAGGAUUAUAAGAAAGAAAACUGGUCUACGCUGUACGUUAAUGUCUGAAUCGACGUACUAGAGCAAUAAUCUGCACUUGGUCUAUCUGUAUAAACCUGCUCAAUAUUUCAGUAGCUAGAUAUUUUUGCCUGGCUUCUCAGAGCGAAAAAUACACUCAUUUAUUUCCCUGAAAUAGCAUAUUAUGAUGGAUGCCACUGCCAAGCUACAGCUAAUGGAUGUAACAUGAUGGAAAACAUCAUUAUUUAGGUGUGGGAAACUGUUCUUGAGGAAUCCAGUGUCUGCAGUAAACCCGCGCUCCUCGAACCUCAAUGCCACAACACGGUUCAGAUGUGGAUUUUAAAAGUGAACGUUUCUAAUUAGUGCAUCACAAAGCCCUGUCAAAACACCUUUCAGCAAACGGUAAUAACGCGUGCCCAGUUAAAAAGGCGCACGGGGCUCCUGGGCGGACGCCUCUGCCCUCACCCCACAGCUUCGCCCUGCCAGCGGUGGCUCUUGGCACCUUCUGCCUGCGAGACAACGCAGCCGGCAACACCGAGCCGGCUGCUGUUGCCGCACCUGUGAGAGGUGUCUCCUGCGGGCUGUAGGUUUCCCAUGGGCUGUAGGUCUGCUGCAGGCUGUAGGUCUCCUGGAGGCUGUAGGUUUCCCGUGGGCUGUAGGUCUGCUGCAGGCUGUAGGUCUCCUGCAGGCUGUAGGUCUCCCGGAGGCUGUAGGUUUCCCGUGGGCUGUAGGUCUGCUGCGGGCUGUAGGUCUGCUGCAGGCUGUAGGUCUCCUGGAGGCUGUAGGUUUCCCGUGGGCUGUAGGUCUCCUGCAGGCUGUAGGUCUCCCUUGGGCUGUGGGUUUCCCACAGGCUGUAGGUCUCCUGUUCACUGCAGGCACCUGAGGGCUACGCUACGGGGAAGAGACGUCCAGCACCAGUAAUAGAUGCUACCUGCUACGCAGGGAAAUU